rnacentral:rRNA from 1 species
GCACGUCUAAGUACUCGCCUUGUCUAUAAAGUGAAACCGCGAAUGGCUCAUUAAAUCAGUUAUGGUUCACUAGACAGUACCUCAUCCUACUCGGAUAACUGUGGUAAUUCUAGAGCUAAUACAUGCAACUAGGCCCCGCCCGGCGUGCCGCCUCGUGUGUCACGUCGGAAAGGGCGCCAUUAUCAGCCCAAAACCGACCGGGUCGCUUCCCCCUUUCAACGGGGGGAAGCUCCCGUCCUUAUUCCCUUUGACGACUCUGGAUAACCUGUCAGCGGAUCGCUGGGUAACUAGGUCACCGGGGGUUCACUCUCCCGGCCGAUCUACAGCGACCAGUCUUUCAAAUGUCUGCCUUAUCAACUGUCGACGGUAGGUCAGAUGCCUACCGUGGUCGUAACGGGUGACGGGGAAUCAGGGUUCGAUUCCGGAGAGGGAGCCUGAGAAACGGCUACCACAUCCAAGGAAGGCAGCAGGCACGCAAAUUACCCAAUCCCAGCACUGGGAGGUAGUGACGAAAAAUAACGAUACGGGACUCUUAACGAGGCCUCGUAAUCGGAAUGAGUCCGCUCUAAAUCCUUUAACGAGGAUCUAUCGGAGGGCAAGUCUGGUGCCAGCAGCCGCGGUAAUUCCAGCUCCGAUAGCGUAUAUUAAAGUUGCUGCGGUUAAAAAGCUCGUAGUUGGAUUUGGGUUUUCGGGCCGGCGGGCCGCCGCCUUCGAGCGGCGCGUUUCCCGCCGCGCCCCCGGAACCGCACGGUCGCAGAGGCCCCCGCGGUGCUCUUGAGUGAGUGUCCGCGGUCUCGGGUCGCCGAACGUUUACUUUGAAAAAAUUAGAGUGCUCCAGGCAGGCCGGUAAAGCGUUUUUAAACCCGCGCCUGAAUAGUCACGCAUGGAAUAAUGAAAGAGGACCGGUGGUCCUAUUUUGUUGGUUUUAAGGAUUUUCCGCCGUCAUGAUUAAGAGGGACGGCCGGGGGCAUUCGUACCGCGGCGCGAGAGGUGAAAUUCUAGGACCGUCGCGAGACGAACCGUUGCGAAAGCAUUUGCCAAGAAUGUUUUCCUUAAUCAAGAACGAAAGUCAGAGGUUCGAAGGCGAUCAGAUACCGCCCUAGUUCUGACCGUAAACGAUGCCACCUGACGAUCCGCCAGGGUUACUACCAUGACUCGGCGGGCAGUCCCCGGGAAACCCAAGCCUUCGGGUUCCGGGGGAAGUAUGGUUGCAAAGCUGAAACUUAAAGGAAUUGACGGAAGGGCACCACCAGGAGUGGAGCCUGCGGCUUAAUUUGACUCAACACGGGGAACCUCACCCGGCCCGGACACCGCGAGGAUUGACAGAUUGAGAGCUC